CCUGAAAGAGCUGGAUCUGACCUACAACCACCCAGGAGAGUCAGGAGUGAAGCUGCUUUCUGAGAGACUGGAGGAUCCACACUGCAAACUGGAGAAACUCGGAGUGGAACAUGGAGGGAAGAUCAGAAUCAAACCUGGAUUAAAAAAAUGCAAAUAGAAAUUCACUGGGCCGGCUUGUGCAGUAGUGGC